CUUGAUUAUACCACGUGAUCAUCCUCGCGGACAGCGCGGCUGUGCGGGCGGAGAGCAGUCGAUGUGACAAAGAUGAUUGAUGAAGGCAGAUUGUGGACGUUGUCUAUAUGGACACUGAACGAUGUUCCACAAAGCAGACUGGUUAGCAAGAUCCCAGUGAUUAAUGCCAAAGCCCUGUUGCCUGGGGAGAGGGUGAUGUUUGACUUUCUUGUACAGCUGCAGUUUGUGUGGUGAAGGUGUUCCCACAAUGUGGUUGGGAUAUUAAAUCAGAAUAAUUGAAGUUCGGAUCUCAAAGCAAGUUUUUACAGUCAAUGGAGUCAUCAGGAUCUGAAUAUCAUUGGCAUUUAACUGUGGAAGGAGAAAGGAUGAGGCUAUCACUGGCUCGGCCAGCAUUUAUUGCUGCGUUUACCCAGAGGGCAGUUAAGAAUCAACCACGUUGCUAUAGUUCUGGAGUCCCAUGCAGACCAGACCAGAUCCCAGUGAUCAGUGCCAAAGCCCCAUUGCCUGUGGAGAGGGUGAUGUUUGAUUUCCCUGUCCAGCUGCAGUUCAUGUGGUGAAGGUGCUCCCACAAUGUGGUUGGAUAACAAGACCGAUGCUGUUUCCAAUCAUGAUCAGAAACAAACCUCAGAAUACACAUGGUUCAUAGAUGGAUGUCAAUAGCCCAUCAACAUCCAACUCCUGCAAUUAUUCAGCAAAUGUAUGUGUGAUUAACCAGUCCUGAUGUCAGUCCUGAUGUACCAGAAAAUCGCUGUUUACUCUGUGCAGAUGGGCAGUGAUGUGGGGAAGUAUUGGCCGAGUGAUAUUGUCGCUGGACAGUUAGUCCAAAGCCCCAGAUAAACUUCUGGAGACCUGAGUUCAAAGCCUACUGCUGCAGAUGGGUGAAUUUGAAUUAAAUUUUUAAAAACUCGGGAAUUUAAGAGUCUCAUGAUGACCAUUAAUCGAUUUUCCGAAAAACCCAUCUGGAUCACUAAUGCCCUUUCAGGAAGGAAGCUGCCAUCCUUACCUGGUCUGGCCUACAUUGUGACUUCAGACCCACAACAAUGUGGUCGACUCUUACCUGCCCCCUGGGCAAUUAGGGAUGGGCAGGAAAUGCUGCCGGGCCAGCGACACCCUCAUCUUGUGAAUGAAUAAAGGAAAAUAAAAGUCUCUACCCAGUGUGAA